CACUCUAAAAAACGCUGGGUUGUUUUUUCAACCCAAAUGCUGGGUUGAGACCGCUGGGUAAGAAAGUUGGGUUAAUUUAACCCAAUUUUGGGUUAAAACUGGUCUUAAUUUAUAACCCAGCGGUGCUGGGUUAGGAACGCGGACUCGAGAGAGAGCAGGCACGUCGUGUCCACCGUACGUCAAAAAGUGCGAGAAGCGGCCAUUUUCUCAGCGUCUGCAGAUGGAAGCGAGUGAAGGACGAUUUUCGACUUGUUGAACUUUGAAUCUUCAUUGUGCCGGCACCGGGAGUUAACGACACAGAAGACCGCGUGUGAGAGCAGGCGAUCGGCUCGGCUUCUUCAGAAGAGACGGAAAGACGGUAUAAAGAACUCAACUUUGGGGCUAACACCACAGGCAACUACUUGUGUGAGGAGGCAAUUUUUUCUGAGCUUUAGAAAAGAGGGAAAGGUGAUUUAAGGCAAGUAAAGAACUCAAACCAGCUCUGGAGUUAACGGCACAGAAGGCCGCGUGUGGGAGGAGGCGAUCUCCUCAGCUUCUUCAGAAGAGACGGAAAGACGGUAUAAGGCAAGUAAAGGUCAUAAUGUUAUAAUUACAUAUUAUAUAUUUUUUUUGACUAGUAGUAAAAGAAUGUUUACUUUUUUGUAGAUGUUGAAAGCCGGAGACAUAGGAAAGCUUCAUUCUCA